UACGUAGGGUCCGAGCGUUGUCCGGAAUUAUUGGGCGUAAAGGGCUCGUAGGCGGUUAGUCGCGUCGGGAGUGAAAACUCAGGGCUCAACCCUGAGCGUGCUUCCGAUACGGGCUGACUAGAGGUAUGCAGGGGAGAACGGAAUUCCUGGUGUAGCGGUGGAAUGCGCAGAUAUCAGGAGGAACACCGGUGGCGAAGGCGGUUCUCUGGGGCAUUACCUGACGCUGAGGAGCGAAAGCAUGGGGAGCGAACAGG
rnacentral:rRNA from 1 species